rnacentral:rRNA from 1 species
UACGAAGGGGGCUAGCGUUGCUCGGAAUCACUGGGCGUAAAGGGUGCGUAGGCGGGUCUUUAAGUCAGGGGUGAAAUCCUGGAGCUCAACUCCAGAACUGCCUUUGAUACUGAAGAUCUUGAGUUCGGGAGAGGUGAGUGGAACUGCGAGUGUAGAGGUGAAAUUCGUAGAUAUUCGCAAGAACACCAGUGGCGAAGGCGGCUCACUGCCCGAUACUGACGCUGAGGCACGAAAGCGUGGGGAGACAA